rnacentral:rRNA from 1 species
UAUCUCUGUAGAGUCUGCAUAUCAAUAAGCGGAGGAAAAGAAACUAACUAAGGAUUCCCUUAGUAACGGCGAGUGAAGCGGGAAGAGCUCAAAUUUGAAAUCUUCAGGGUUCUACCUUGACGAAUUGUAGUUUAAAGAAGUGUUUUCUGUUGGAGUUUUGGUAAAAGUUCUUUGGAAUAGGACAUCAUAGAGGGUGAGAAUCCCGUAUUUGACCAUUAUUUCCAGCUUUGUGAUACACUUUCAAAGAGUCGGAUUGUUUGGGAAUGCAGUCCAAAAUGGGUGGUAAAUUUCAUCUAAAGCUAAAUACUGGCGAGAGACCGAUAGCGAACAAGUACCGUGAGGGAAAGAUGAAAAGAACUUUGAAAAGAGAGUUAAACAGUACGUGAAAUUGUCAAAAGGGAAGCGUUUGACACCAGUGUUGUUUUUCUCGAAAAUCAAUUACAAAUGGCAGUGAUUCUGUGUUGUAUUGACCUUAUCAAGCUUUCUUCACUUUUUUCAUGUCUUUCUUAAUGCACUUUUCGUUUAACAAGUCAACAUCAAUUUCUUUUGUUGUAAAAGAGUAUUCGGAAGGUGGCUUUCUUUUCGGAGAAAGUGUUUAUAGCCCUAUACUUCUACAAUCGGAGAGAUUGAGGUCUGCAGCGUAGAUCCUUCGGGGUUAGAUACACUUGUGCUAAGUUGUAGCUUUUCAUAGACAACCUGUUGACUAUGUUUAGUCAUGCGGCUUACUCGCUUGUGCUAUUUUACCUACGCUUAGGAUGUUGAAGAUGUAGCACAUCAU